CUGGUGCUGCUCGCGCUGCUGUGCUUCAGGAGCCGGCCAGGUGCUCGCCCACAGCGGCCGCUCCGUUGUUCCCUUGAGCUCCCGGACGCGUCCUUGGGUUCAGGCAGACCUUGGCCCCUCGGGGCGUGGGCCUUCUAGGUGUCCGGAAGUAACUCCAGACUCAGCCUCUCAGAAACACAGGAGCACUCGGGGCUCGCUGCAGGGGUUCUGCGGUUGCCAAAAUAAUAGGCAAUAAUGUAAAAAAAUUGCAAAAGUUUGCUUCCACAGUGAAGAUGUGGGUCUUCGAGGAGAAUAUUAAUGGGAGAAAACUGACAGAUAUAAUAAAUAAUGAACAUGAAAAUGUAAAAUAUGUCCCUGGAUACAAGCUGCCAGAU